CCAGACUCCUACGGGAGGCAGCAGUGGGGAAUAUUGCACAAUGGGGGGAACCCUGAUGCAGCGACGCCGCGUGGGUGAAGGAGUACUUCGGUACGUAAAGCCCUAUCAGCAGGAAAGAAAAUGACGGUACCUGACUAAGAAGCCCCGGCUAACUACGUGCCAGCAGCCGCGGUAAUACGUAGGGGGCAAGCGUUAUCCGGAUUUACUGGGUGUAAAGGGAGCGUAGACGGCAGUGCAAGUCCGGAGUGAAAGCCCGGGGCUCAACCCUGGGACUGCUCUUGGAACUGCGUGGCUGGAGUGCAGGAGGGGCAGGCGGAAUUCCUGGUGUAGCGGUGAAAUGCGUAGAUAUUACACAGAACACCGAUUGCGAAGGCAGCUUGCUAGGCCGGAUCUGACACUGAUGCACGAAAGCGUGGGGAUCGAACAGGAUUAGAUACCCCAGUA
rnacentral:rRNA from 1 species